CGGUGGAGCCCAGCUUGCUGGGUGGAUCAGUGGCGAACGGGUGAGUAACACGUGAGCAAUCUGCCCCUGACUCUGGGAUAAGCGCUGGAAACGGCGUCUAAUACUGGAUAUGAGCUGCGAUCGCAUGGUCAGUAGCUGGAAAGAUUUUUUGGUCAGGGAUGAGCUCGCGGCCUAUCAGCUUGUUGGUGAGGUAAUGGCUCACCAAGGCGUCGACGGGUAGCCGGCCUGAGAGGGUGACCGGCCACACUGGGACUGAGACACGGCCCAGACUCCUACGGGAGGCAGCAGUGGGGAAUAUUGCACAAUGGGCGCAAGCCUGAUGCAGCAACGCCGCGUGAGGGAUGACGGCCUUCGGGUUGUAAACCUCUUUUAGCAGGGAAGAAGCGAAAGUGACGGUACCUGCAGAAAAAGCGCCGGCUAACUACGUGCCAGCAGCCGCGGUAAUACGUAGGGCGCAAGCGUUAUCCGGAAUUAUUGGGCGUAAAGAGCUCGUAGGCGGUUUGUCGCGUCUGCUGUGAAAUCCCGAGGCUCAACCUCGGGUCUGCAGUGGGUACGGGCAGACUAGAGUGCGGUAGGGGGAGAUUGGAAUUCCUGGUGUAGCGGUGGAAUGCGCAGAUAUCAGAGAGGAACACCGAUGGCGAACGCAGAUCUCUGGGCCGUAACUGACGCUGAGGAGCGAAAGGGUGGGGAGCAAACAGGCUUAGAUACCCUGGUAGUCCACCCCGUAACGUUGGGAACUAGUUGUGGGGUCCAUUCCACGGAUCCGUGACGCA
rnacentral:rRNA from 1 species